GUCUACGGCCAUACCACCCUGAACGCUAGUCUGAUCUAGUCUGAUCUUGGAAGCUAAGCAGGGUCGGGCCUGGUUAGUACUUGGAUGGGAGACCACCAAAAUCUUUUACAUAAGUA
rnacentral:rRNA from 1 species